rnacentral:lncRNA from 1 species
AAAAAGUCAAUCCUGGUACUAUUCACUUUACCCUUUAUUUUGUCCUUAUCAUUAAAACUCAAAGUUUUCAAUCCCUUUUCAUUAGUUUUCCUUAAAAACAAUCAAGGAUUGCAAAGGAAGAGAAGAGAAGUGAGAAACUUGCUACUCUUGUAUAUAUUUAUCGUUGAGGAAGAGAAAGUUGUGAGAAAAUUGUACUAUUUUUAUUUUUAUUUUAUUAGAAAAUUCUUGUUUAUCCUUAUUAUAUAUAUAUAUAUAUAUAUUUCUUUCAAUAAGAGUAAAUUAAGAAAAUAGAGAAAUGGAAGCAUUUUCUACAAGGGUUGAGAAAGUCCAUUGCCCUAAAUAAUAGUAUAUAAAUAGCUAGAUAUAGUGAUUAAAAAAAAAAAGUAAUGUUAGGGAGACAAGAUUUAUAGACAGAAUAUAAAAACUAAAUGAUAUGUCAUGAACAUAAUAUCAACGCUUAAGUAAUAAUCUAAUCAUCAACUUCCAUGUUAUUUCGUGUACAAAAUUUUAUUUACAAAUUUAGUCUCCUUAGCAUUACCUUAAAAAAAAAGCUAGAUAUAGUUAAAAUCUUUACCGACCGACCCUCCUUGUUUGCAUAUGAACAUCCAACACUAGUAUCAGAACGUAUCUAAUUAAAUCAUCUUAUUCUAACCACAUAGCUAAUAUAGCUAAGUCUGAAAUUUGGGACCAGUUGAUCAUGAGGAGCUGCAGUUGCUUUUGGCUACUAGCUAGGUAAACACAAUUAGGCUGCUAAGAUCUGGUUAUAUAUAGUAAUCUUGUUGGGAUUUAUAGUAACAUAUAGUUCGCGUUUCACAUUGAUCUAGAUCAUUAUCUGUCAAUUUUUACAAAUGGGCCUAACUAAGGUGGAGGAGGGACGUGCUGGUAGUUUUCCGAGUGUAAAGGUCCUCAUCCUGUGAGAGAGUCAUGACUCAUAACCAUUGCCGAUGAACUAAUAUCGUCUAAUCCUUCAAUUUCAAAUUGGUGGAGUCUUAACUAUUAUCUACUACCCUAGCUACUAGCCCAAGCCACGUACGGUCCUCUUUCUUUUCUUUUGUUUUUUCUUUUUCUUUUUCGGUGCUGAUAAAAACUUUGAUAUAUAGCAAACAAGGAUGCAGAUUGUCCCCAAAGCAUCAAAACACAGACGAAUAGAAUUUAGCUACUAGCUAAGAAAUGAGAUUUUUGAAUUUAGUCCAGGUUCGAGUAAUCUCCAUAUGAUCGCGAUCUAAGUUUGAAUCUGGAAAGCAUGUGUAGUCAAGGAGAGAGUAAGUUUUCUUCGAAAAUAUUUUGUGUGACCCCACAUGUUCUAGGCGUGAACUGAAGAACCUAUAAGUGAAGAAAUAAUGGAUAUCUAAUGAUGGUAGGUGGAAGGAGUCAUAUCGAAAUGCUUGACUUGCCUGUGAUGAUGUUGUGUAGAAUUCCCUUCAAUGAACCUAAGUUCUUGAAGCCCUAAUUCAGACAACAAAUUAUAGGGCUGUCUUUUUAUUAAAGACCUUAUAUAAUUAUAUCCACCAAUUCAAGUUGUUGCAAUGACCAAGAUUAUCACUACUAAACCCUAAAAAAGCCAGAGAAGAUAAACACUGUUGUAAUUUUUAGGGCAAAAGACUGUUUACUACCCUCAUGUUUCAUGGUUUUCAAUAUUUAGUACAUCAAUUUUUUUUCGUCCCAGAGUCAUACCUAAAGUGUAAAUUUUGGGACAGUUUCAUACAUCCGUUAGUCAAACUGUUAAUUCUCCCGUUAAGUGAUGAUGUGGCGCCCAUGUGGACAAUGACUGGGCGCCACGUGUCAUUAAAAUAUUAAAUUAUUAUUAUUAUUAUUAUAAUAUAUAUAUAUAAAACCUGUCGUCUUCCCCACCCCGACCCCCCUUCCCUUCUCUCUCCAACCCCCAACCUCUGCACCUUCCCCCACCCAGAAACUGGACUCGACAAAAUACCCUUCUCUUCUUUACACCUACCCAACCCCAACCUCUGCACCUUCCCCCACCCCGAAACUGGACUUAACCAAAUGCAAGAUCCAGCCAACCCGAAACCGGAUCCGAGCUCCAGCUCUCAAGACACAUGGCGCAGCCGUUGCCAGACGCAACUCCGAGCGCCCCGUUCCGGGGCUCCUACCACCGCCGAACCCAAUCCGAGAUCCAUUUUCUGAUCCCGACGACCUGGAUCUGCUUUAGGACCUGUUCGAAGCCCAUCCUGCAGCUUCGAGGAGCUGGGCGGCUCUGAGGACAAAAUCUUCGGCACCUGCUGGACAUGGAGAAGCUUGGAUCCAAACUCGAUGAUGGACCCUCCAAUCGACUGUGCUUGGGAGAGAGAGGUGAAGAGGGAGGGUGCUUGGGAGAGAGAGGUGAAGAGGGAGGAAUGAGGGGGAUCGGGGAAGAGGGACAGGGGGUGGGGUUGGGUUAGGGUGCAGGAUAAAGAGAAGGAAGAGGGGGUAGGGUUAGGAGAGGAAUGGUGGAGGAGGUGGUGGUUGUGGACAAGGGGGGAUAAAAAUAGGGGAGAGAAAAGGGGGAGCCGAAGAGAAUGUUGCAGAGGGAAGAAGGAAGGGAGGUGGAAGACGGGUUAAUUUACUUGAUUUGGAUGUGCAGUAGGGGAAUAUAGGGGGUGGGGGAAGGUGCAGAGGUUGGGGGUUGGGUAGGUGCAGAGAAGAGAAGGGAGAGAGAAGGG